AUGUCCCCCCAGUGCCUCAGUGUCCCCCCCCUGUGCUGCAGUGCCCCCUCUAUGCUCCGGUUUCCUCCCUGUGCCCCCGUGUCUCAGUGCGGGGCUCGCUCCACCAGGACACCUCGAGGUGGGGUGGGGAGAGGGCGGUGUGCUGCUACCCGGCAUGGAGGGAGAGGAAGAAGAGGAGGAGGAGGGAAGCGAAGGAGGGCGGUGGUUCUGUCCCACCCCCCACCCCGUGCAGGGGAGGAGGAGGGCGGGCAGCGGCCGGGGGCGGCUCGGGCCCCCCCGGAGGGAGGCGGGGAAGGCGGCGGACGGACGGAGCGGAGCGUCCGGAGCUCAGAGCCCGGCCCGAGCCGCACCGAGCCCGGCAGGCAGCUGAAUCGGCCCCAAGCUGCUGCCAUGGGCACCAUGUGGGGGCUCUGGGCCCUCAUCCUGGUGGGCCUCAUUGGUGCCUGCAAUGGGAUGGAGAUGACAGCAGAGGAAGGAGCACCGUGCCCACGGCUCUGGGAUGAGGACCUGGUUGGGAACAAAUAUGAGAACGUGACGGGUAAGGAAAUGGUGACGGGGCUUGGCUCUGCAAUGGGCUGCGUACCCACAGCGGUGCCCUCACCCCCUCCAUCCCGCAGGCUUUAA
rnacentral:lncRNA from 1 species